AGAAAUAUCAGUUUUCACCUCCAGUACUUUACCUAUCUGGGAUGCAGCUCGACGCAGAAUAGUUGGAGAAGUCCACUCCAAAGGCUUUCUUCAUCGCAACUUGAAAGGCGGAUAAAUUCACAGAGGGAUUGGUAAAUAUAUUGCCUACCAGAAUGAGGCGACAAUCCUUUAGUUUGGCCGACGCAGGGAUGUCAUCCCAAACCUCCAACUCCUGUUCUGAGCAUAAACGUCCCAGGCGAUUGCAUAGGGAAGCAAUUCGUGAGAUUGCAUGUUACAGAUCGACAACAUGCAGAGCAGGAAUGGCGGGGAAUUGCAAGAGAACAGAAGAACAGCGGAACCAGGGAACGGUGAUAGUUGAAAGGGAUAGAAGAAUUUGCACAUGCAGAAGGAUGAAAUACGAGGAGAAGCUAGUUAAGGUGAAAUGGGCGGAGAACGACGGUGAUGCAGAAAGACCUCAAAGAUCAGAGAAGGAGCUGAGGAAGUCG